rnacentral:rRNA from 1 species
GUGGGGAAUUUUGCACAAUGGGGGAAACCCUGAUGCAGCGACGCCGCGUGAACGAUGAAGGUCUUCGGAUUGUAAAGUUCUGUCCUUAGCGAAGAUAAUGACAGUAGCUAAGAAGCAAGCCCUGGCUAAAUACGUGCCAGCAGCCGCGGUAAUACGUAUGGGGCAAGCGUUGUCCGGAAUUAUUGGGCGUAAAGGGUAUGUAGGCGGUUAAUUAAGUCUGAAUUUAAAGGCUGUGGCUCAACCACGGUUCGGUUUAGAAACUGGUUAACUUGAGUAGAUGAGGGGAAAGUGGAAUUCCAUGUGUAGCGGUGAAAUGCGUAGAUAUAUGGAGGAACACCAGUGGCGAAGGCGACUUUCUAGAAUCUAACUGACGCUGAGAUACGAAGGCGUGGGUAGCAAACAGGAUUAGAAACCCUAGUAGUCC